CAAAGAAAUGUGGUUGAUUUCUUCAAAAAAAAAAGAGAAAAUAUAUGCAUUUUUGCAAAAGAAAAGAAAAUUGGAAAAUAUGGAGAUGUUUGGGAUCAUAAUCACUAACAGACCACCUACCAUGUUGUAUGAGAAAUAAAGGGUCUCAAUGUGACUGUCACGAAUUAAAGAGGAUUACAAACAAGUAGAAAAUUAGACUUUUAUUCAAAGGUAUAAUUGGAAUUAGUUUGAAUAGGAGAGAGGCUUGUGUCCAUGAGAGUGGUUUGUGUUGUUGCAAUGCCCUUGGUGGUGAUUAGUACCUAUCAAGUCGUUCCUAGCCGAACUGAUCCUCAUCAGCCACAU
rnacentral:lncRNA from 1 species